rnacentral:tRNA from 1 species
GGGGGAUUAGCUCAUCUGGGAGAGCGCCUGAUUUGCAUUCAGGAGGUGGCUGGUUCGAGUCCAGUAUCCUCCACCA